AAUGAACGUUGGCGGCGUGGAUUAGGCAUGCAAGUCGUGCGACAGGCCCGCAAGGGCGCUGAGCGGCGAAAGGGAGCGUAACACGUAGGUUAUCUACCCUCAGGACCGGGAUAGCUACGGGAAACUGUAGGUAAUACCGGCAGAUGUCUCCGGACUAAAGGUGUGAUUCCGACUGUGGAGGAGCCUGCGUCCUAUUAGCUAGUUGGUGGGGUAACGGCCUACCAAGGCUGAGAUGGGUACGGGGUAUGAGAGUAUGCCCCCGCUCACUGGGACUGAGACACUGCCCAGACACCUACGGGUGGCUGCAGUCGAGGAUCUUCGGCAAUGGGCGCAAGCCUGACCGAGCGACGCCGCGUGUGGGAUGAAGGACUUCGGGUUGUAAACCACUGUCAGUGGGGAGGAAAUAUUACGGGGUUCUCCUCGUAGUUUGACCUAUCCGCAGAGGAAGUACGGGCUAAGUUCGUGCCAGCCGCCGCGGUAAUAC
rnacentral:rRNA from 1 species